GGUCAAGAUAGAACGGGCACAUGGUGGAUGCCUUGGCACACAGAGGCGAUGAAGGACGUGAUUACCUGCGAAAAGCGCCGGGGAGCUGGCAACGAGCUUCGAUCCGGCGAUGUCCGAAUGGGGAAACCCCCAGGGGUAUCCCCUGAAUCCAUAGGUGCGGGAGGCGAACCCGGGGAACUGAAACAUCUAAGUACCCGGAGGAAAAGAAAUCAACCGAGAUUCCCUCAGUAGUGGCGAGCGAACGGGGAACAGCCUAAACCAGGGGUUUUAACUCCUGGGGUUGUGGACAGCGAUAUGGACUCUAGCGGCUAGACGAAGCAGCUGAAUACUGCACCAGAGAAGGUGAAAGUCCUGUAGUCGAAAGCUUAAAGAUACUAGCUGAAUCCCGAGUAGGCCGGAGCACGUGGAAUUCCGGUUGAAUCAUCGAGGACCACCUCGAAAGGCUAAAUACUCCUGUGUGACCGAUAGUGAACCAGUACCGCGAGGGAAAGGUGAAAAGAACCCCGGGAGGGGAGUGAAAUAGAACAUGAAACCGUCAGCCUACAAGCAAUCGAAGCCCGAUUAAACGGGUGACGGUGUGCCUGUUGAAGAAUGAGCCGGCGACUUAUAGGCACUGGCAGGUUAAGCCGAGAAUGGCGAAGCCAAAGCGAAAGCGAGUCUGAUAAGGGCGAAAGUCAGUGUUUAUAGACCCGAACCCCGGUGAUCUAACCAUGGCCAGGAUGAAGCUUGGGUAAAGCCAAGUGGAGGUCCGAACCGACUGAUGUUGAAAAAUCAGCGGAUGAGCUGUGGUUAGGGGUGAAAUGCCAAUCGAACCGGGAGCUAGCUGGUUCUCCCCGAAAUGUGUUGAGGCGCAGCGGUAGAGAUUAUAGCGGGGGGGUAAAGCACUGAUUCGGUGCGGGCUGCGAGAGCGGUACCAAAUCGAGUCAAACUCUGAAUACCCCGUGUACACUCUGCCAGUGAGACGGUGAGGGAUAAGCUCCAUCGUCAAGAGGGAAACAGCCCAGACCACCAGCUAAGGUCCCCAAAUCAUCGCUAAGUGGCAAAGGAGGUGGGAGUGCAUAGACAACCAGGAGGUUUGCCUAGAAGCAGCCACCCUUAAAAGAGUGCGUAAUAGCUCACUGGUCAAGCGCUCCUGCGCCGAAAAUGAACGGGACUAAGCGAUGUACCGAAGCUGUGGGAUAUAUCUAUCGAUGUAUCGGUAGGGGAGCGUUCUGUAGUAGUUAGAAGCAUCAGCGGAAGCAGGUGUGGACGAAGCAGAAGUGAGAAUGUCGGCUUGAGUAGCGCAAACAUUGGUGAGAAUCCAAUGCCCCGAAAUCCCAAGGUUUCCUCCGGAAGGCUCGUCCGCGGAGGGUUAGUCGGGUCCUAAGGCGAGGUCGAAGGACGUAGUCGAUGGACAACAGGUUAAUAUUCCUGUACCGAUAUGCAGUUGUGCAGAGGGACGGAGAAGGCUAACACAGCCAGAGGUUGGUUACUGGUUCAAGCGUCCGAGGCGAUGAGGAGCGGCGAAAACGUUCCGAGCUGAGGCGUGAGUACGAGGGGAUACGUCCCCGAAGUGUGUGAUGUCAGGCUUCCAAGAAAAGCUCUAAACACGUUAACUGCCUAUUGCCCGUACCCUAAACCGACACAGGUGGGUGGUUGAGAAUACCAAGGCGCGCGGGAGAACCCUCGCUAAGGAACUUGGCAAACUAGCCCCGUAACUUCGGGAGAAGGGGUGCCUAGGCAACUAGGUCGCAGUGAAAAGCCUCUGGCGACUGUUUAUCAAAAACACAGCACUCUGCAAACACGAAAGUGGACGUAUAGGGUGUGACGCCUGCCCGGUGCCGGAAGGUUAAGUGAUGGGGGUCAGCGCAAGGCGAAGCUCUUGAUCGAAGCCCCGGUAAACGGCGGCCGUAACUAUAACGGUCCUAAGGUAGCGAAAUUCCUUGUCGGGUAAGUUCCGACCUGCACGAAAGGCGUAACGAUCUGGGCACUGUCUCGACGAGGGACUCGGUGAAAUUGAAGUGGCCGUGAAGAUGCGGCCUACUCGCAGCAGGACAAAAAGACCCCGUGGAGCUUUACUGUAGCCUGGCAUUGCGUUCGGGUGUUGAUUGUGUAGGAUAGGUGGGAGGCGGAGAAGCCGGACUUGCGGGUUUGCUGGAGCCGACGGUGAAAUACCACCCUGAGUGCUCGACGUUCUAACCUAGGCCCGUAAUCCGGGUCAGGGACCGUGUAUGGUGGGCAGUUUGACUGGGGCGGUCGCCUCCCAAAGGGUAACGGAGGCGCGCAAAGGUUCGCUCAGGCGGGAUGGAAACCCGCCGUAGAGUGCAAAGGCAUAAGCCAGCUUGACUGCGAGACGGACAGGUCGAGCAGGGACGAAAGUCGGCCUUAGUGAUCCUACGGUCCCGAGUGGAAGGGCCGUAGCUUAACGGAUAAAAGCUACCCCGGGGAUAACAGGCUAGUCUUCCCCAAGAGUUCAUAUCGACGGGAAGGCUCGGCACCUCGAUGUCGGCUCGUCGCAUCCUGGGGCUGGAGAAGGUCCCAAGGGUUGGGCUGUUCGCCCAUUAAAGCGGUACGUGAGCUGGGUUCAGAACGUCGUGAGACAGUUCGGUCCAUAUCCGGUGCAGGCGUAAGAGUAUUGAGAGGAUUCUUCCUUAGUACGAGAGGACCGGGAAGAACGCACCGCUGGUGUACCUGUUAUCGUGCCAACGGUAGACGCAGGGUAGCCAAGUGCGGAGUGGAUAACCGCUGAAAGCAUCUAAGUGGGAAGCCCACCUCAAGAUGAGUACUCUCAUGGCAUAAGCCAGUAAGGUCACCCGCAGAACACGGGUUGAUAGGCUCUAGAUGGAAGUGCAGUGAUGUAUGAAGUCGAGGAGUACUAACAGACCGAGGGCUUGACCUC
rfam:Leptolyngbya sp. O-77 DNA, complete genome.